rnacentral:lncRNA from 1 species
AAAAAGACAAUAACUCCUAAGCAUGGAAUGGAAUGGACCAUGGACUUAGAAAUUUCUUGUUAGUACCCUUGCAUUUGGACUUGGACAUGUGUGAUUGACCUAUGCAAUCUGGAGUUUCCGAUGACUUGUAAUCUUUUAUUGCAAGAAUGGAAAGCAUUCAUGACACUACCUUAGGGAUACAUGAUUUGUAUUUCCAUUGUCCGAUUGUUAGUUUAUGACACAAUUGCACACACAAGACUUUCUCUUGGGCUACCUGAG